UACGUAGGGUGCGAGCGUUAAUCGGAAUUACUGGGCGUAAAGCGUGCGCAGGCGGUUUUGCAAGCCGGAUGUGAAAUCCCCGGGCUCAACCUGGGAAUGGCAUUCGGGACUGCAAGGCUGGAGUGCGGCAGAGGAGACUGGAAUUCCUGGUGUAGCAGUGAAAUGCGUAGAUAUCAGGAGGAAUACCGAUGACGAAGGCAGGUCUCUGGGCUGACACUGACGCUCAUGCACGAAAGCGUGGGGAGCAAACAGG
rnacentral:rRNA from 1 species